ACUCACAUAUAUACACUUACACACAUUCACACAUACAUAUACACACUCUCACACACUCACACACACACUGUUGGGAAGACAAAAAAGGAUAACCACAAAAAAAGGAGCUUUCAAGAAUAACUAACAGGCAGUAAGUCCUCAGAGAGUGACAACCAAGGUAAACACUGUCAUAACUGGGGGCGGGGCCUGUGCUGAACAAGAAUCGCUCUGCGCUGUACAAACACAGUACAUACAAUUGCACAAUUAUGUCCGAAGCCUUACAGUGUUUGCUGUGUUCAGAUGAGCAUUGGGUUACCGCAGCUGUGGCUGCCUCCAGACUCUCCCCUCAGCCAAGAACUGCAUCUCACCCCCAUUUUGUGGCUGAGGAAGUGGAGUGUCCCUGGCUGCCUUGCUGAGGCUGGUCUAUGUGCCCCUGGGGCCCUUUAGGCCGGGACGUUUUGACUCCAUUCCUCCUAAAAAGAACCAGCCCAAACCUCCCGGAUUGAAGUCUCCAAUGAUUCAUUCAACAAACUGUGACAGAAACAAUUUGCUUCAGAGAAACCUUGCUCCCUGGAGAAUCUGUCGCUCUGUGUCAUCCUCAGGGACAAGAAAAUUCAAGAACAAACCAGCAUGAAUGUGGGCAAAGAGGUGACAUGGGUGCCUCCCACAGAUCCUACCUCAAACCCUGACAACAUCCUCUGCUGAAGAUCCCACCCUCAGCUCUCAGUCCACCAUGACACUCUCCUACCUUGAAUGUAAACAACACCACGUCAUAGACUGGGGUUCAGAGCUAAUAAAGAGCCCUGGCUCGCACCUCUCUCUCUCUUUCCUGCGCGGCCAGCUGCCUCAAGCUCCUGCCACCAUGGUGGCCUUCAUCCUCCAACUGUGAGCCAAAGAGGUGAGAGAAGCGACUAUACAACCAGUCUCCUGUGAAGAGCUGGGUGGGGCAGAGGACCACAGGAGCUUCCAAAGCCCUGGGCAGAACACAACUGUGCUACACAGUGGCCCGAUGCUCACCGAUGACCUGCUCACUGGCACACGGUGUGUUCCUGGUCCCCUCUUAGAUCUCCUUUCCUGCUCUACUUUCUCUCACGGCCCCAAAGAUGACAUCCUGUGUCCCUGCCCCGAUAGGACCCAUGGGAAUCCACUGUGCACAGGAUGGGCUUCUCAGCGGGAAUGCACAGGUGGAAAUGUUGCAGUGUGAGCCCCACCAAAGUCCUUGGACUCUGUAUGUUCAUCUGUAAUGUCGGAGAAGUGUUGGGACCAACUCGCAACACUACAAAGGACUGAAUGAGCUGAUGCCCACGGGGCACCAUCUAGGGCGUUCUGGGCUCAGGAAGCACCUAUUCUCCUGUGGAGUUCUGUCCUCUAGGUCUGUUGUGGCCAUCGACACCAUGAAACCAAAGUAGUUGUGAAUACCCACAGGAGAUGCCCCCAAAAGGCUGGGCCUGAUAACUCCCUCCUAGAAGAGUGCUGGGGAUGGUCCUCAGACCCUCAACCUGAGACUCCGGCCACCCCCGCCAGCCGUCCUCCGCAGCAGUGUGUGAGCUCUGGAGGUGCUCACGUGGGCAGGAGCUGGAAGGUUGGCUGCAGGUACCCCAUCUUUGUGGCUUUGGGGCAUUUUCAACCACACUGCUGGCAGUGACCCCACUAGAUCACCAAGCCGUGCUCGGAAGGCAUCUUCUCUUUAGUCCUUACUGCCCUUGCUGUCUGAGGUGCAUGUACUCAAACACCGCGGGAGAAAUCUCCCUGACACAUGCCAUCCCUCCCAACACUGGGGUCACAUUCACUAUCAAGCAGAAGAGUCUGAUCUGACUGUCUACAGGGUCUGAUCUGACAGAUUCCAAAUUGUGAAACAGAUCCGGCCCCAGGGCCUCGGCCUCGGCCUCAGAUAAGGGGCCUCAGUUUUGAACAGGAGAAAACGCCAAGGUGAGCUAAUACCCCUGAGACUCAGCUAGGGCUCUGAAAAGUCAUCUGAGUCCUCACAGGAACUUGGGGGCCCUGGGACCUCUGGGGGGGUGGAGAUGCUGUCUUGCCCUGGCCUGUGGUCAGCUGGCUCAGCAGGCUGGCUGCCCCACAGCCCCACACACCUCCUGGCUUGACAUAGUGGGACUCCUGAUGUCAGCACAGCUCCCCAUUCCCUGCAGCAGUGAGCACCAUGUUGCACACUCAGAGCUCUUUGUCAUAGGCUUACAGAGGAUUUUUUGACAAUCCCCAGAGAUACCCCAAGAAUCCAUGGGACACUGGCAAAGCUGUCAGAGCUCCCAGUGGCCACGAGGGCACAGCGGGAGCGGGAGACAGAGCAGGUGGCAAGUGUGGAAACCCUUUGCAAACAAGAUGGACAUUCUCUGCCAAGAAGAAGAAGAAGAGAGACCCUUUUGCAGACAUACCUCCCAUGCCUUACUCCCCAGGGACUUAUACAUCUGCAGCUCCUGCCAGGGUGGGCCACUUUGGUGUUAGGCACUUCAGGCCUGAGCCAGUAGCUCUGGUUUGAGCCCCAACCUGACUUCUUUUUUUUCUUUUUUGUUUUUGUUUGUUUGUUUGUUUUUGUUUUUGUUUUUGUUUUUGUUUUUUUGUUUUUUUGUUUUUUGUUUUUUGUUUUUUGUUUUUGUUUUUGUUUGAGACAGGGUUUCUCUGUGUAGCCCUGGCUGUCCUGGAACUCACUAGGUAGACCAGGUUGACCUCAAACUCAGAAAUCUGCCUGCCUCUGCCUCCCGAGUGCUGGGAUUAAAGGCGUGGGCCACCACUGCCCGGCGCUCUCUCUCUCUCUCUCUCUCUCUCUCUCUCUCUCUCUCUCUCUCGGGUGGCGUGGAUUUCUGAGUUCGAGGCCAGCCUGGUCUACAAAGUGAGUUCUGGGACAGCCAGGGAACCCUGUCUCGAAAAACAAACAAACAAAUAAAUAAGAUGACGUUUCUUAACACGAGUUUCUGGGCUUCUAAUUCCUCAUCGAUGAAGAGGCCAGCUAUUACAUUCUGUUGACUCCUCCACAACUUAGGGACCGUCGCUGAAGAGGCCGCAGAAAGAAUGUAAGAGCCAUAGGAAGGGUCGUGAAUGCUGUCUUCCUGAUGUGAUGUGGCCUUGACCCUCAAGCUCUCAGUGGCUGGGCUUACCUGGCCGUAAGACUGGACUUGUCAAUCAUGGACGAAGGAAGAACUUGUGAGGCCCCACCCCUCUCUGAGAAUCUCUAGGCAGUUAUUGGCUGCUGAAGGAGGGGGCGUGACCACUGGUAAGUUUCUUUUGCUCAAGUGAGUAAGCUCCACCCAUUCAUACCACCUCCCCACCCCAGAUUAAAUACUAAGGCCAUGAGAGAGAGAAAAGACAUGAAAGUGGGGGAGACCCUUGCAAGAGGAGGGGAUAAGCAGAUCAUGGGGUGACGUAAUCAAAGUACCCCUCAUAGACAGGGAGUUCUGAAAGGCUAAAUAAUUUUGUGCUUUAAAAUUAAAUGAGAAAAGAUGACUCAAGGAGACAGACAACAGGGAUGCUGGCUAGUUCUGUCAACUCGACACAAGCUAGAGUCAUCAGAGAAGAGGGAGCCUCAAUUGGGCAAAUGCCCCCCAUAAGAUAUGGCUGUGGGGAAUUUUCGUAAUUAGUGAUGGAUGGGGGAGGGUCCUGCCCAAUGUGGGUG